ensembl:lncRNA novel transcript
GAGCAGGCAUGGCCCUCCUUCCCUGAGACCCGUCCCCAGCCUUCCUACUCCCUCCAUGACAGAGCACACACAUGGCCACUGUGGUUUUCAUAAUAAUGAACUCAUAAAGAACUAAAAUUCACCUAGCACUUUCCGGCUCCCAGAGAGCAUUUCCAUUUUAUUUGAUAGUGACAGUGAUGCUGGGAACAAAGCAGGACAGACAUCAGCACUGUCCCCAUGUAAUCAGUGACAACACGGUUCCAGGGUGCACUGGCUUGGCCAGUGUUCCGUGGCUAAGAUGUGGACAAGCCCAGUGACAUUCAAACCUGGGUCUUCUGACUCCAAGACCCAUAGUGAGCGGGCUUCAACCCUAAGAACCAACAGGGAAGCACCAGCUCUCACUGAGGAGCCAACCAGGCAAUGAGUGUGGAUUUGGAGUUGGGAUGCACACAUGCUAAAAUUCAAGUAAUGGACUAUUUGGAUGAUAGCGUGCCCGGAAUUGGUUCCUUCCGAUAUUCUUGGUCUCGCUGACUUUAACAAUGAAGCCUCAGACCAUUGCGCACAGUCCAGUGUUAAGACAGGGCAUGAGGACCAGCUCCACUGGAAACACCAGCCAGCGUCUUAACCGGGGAGGAAGGAAGGUGUGUGCUGGGCAAGUGGGGCAUGUGACAAAGUGGAACUGAAGUGGCCGUCGCUUGCCUUUAGGCCAGCAGGUUCCUCAGCAGCCUUUGCUCAUAGGCUGGCUUAACUAUGAUCCUGCUGUGGGAAGAUAAAAAAACUGACCGAAGGAGAUAGGCUGAGUAAUGGCUCCCUCAAGAUGUCCAUAUUUCAUCCCUGGAACCUGUGAAUACAUUUCUUUAUGUGGCAAAAGGGACUUUGUGGCUGUGAUUAAACUAAGAACCUUGAAAUGAGGAGAUUCUCCGGGAUCGUCCAGAUGCAUCAAAUGUAACAAGAAGGAGUCAGAGUCAGGCUGGAAGCCGCUAUGCUGCUGGCUUUGAAGGCAGAUGAAGGGGCCAAGGAAUUAGGGUGGUCUCUAGAAUCUGGAAAAGGCAAUGAAAUUGAUUCUCCCCUAGAGCUUUCAGAAGGAAUGCAGCCUUGCCCACACCUUCAUUUUAGACCAGUGAAACUGAUUUUAGACUUCUGACUGCCAGAACUGUAAGAUAAUAAAUGUAUAUUGUUUGAAGCUA